rnacentral:rRNA from 1 species
AUGGCCCGCGCCGCCGUGGACCGCAGCGCCGGCCGGUGCGAGUCCUACCGCGGCCGCGCGGACGCCGAUUUCCUCAUCUAUCUCGGCGACAGCGCGCCGUCGCUGAGGAGCCUCCACGUGACGAGCUCGCUCUACAGGGGUGAGGGAGACCUAGUCACGGCGGCGAUCAAGAAGCUCCCGCUGCUGGAGCAGCUGGCGCUGUCGCGCGGCAUCGUGAAGAAGGAAUGGCUGGUGGCCCUCCUCGAGCACUGCCCGCGCCUCGAGCUGCUCGACGCCGGCGGCUGUGUGGCCCUUGAGUUGAUCGGCAAGAGGCUCGUGGAGAGGUGCGAGAGCAGGAUCGGUAAGGGACUCCGGUGGCCGCAACGGGGUGAUGGCGUGUGCCCUUGCUGCGCCAUGCGUGCUCAGAUAUACUCCCUCCGUUCGGUAAUAGUACGAGGGUGCUUGGAUACAAGGAACUAUUUUUAG